ACUACGGGGGGCUGCAGUGGGGGAUAUUGGGCAAUGGGGGGAACCCUGAUCCAGCGACGCCGCGUGAGUGAAGAAGUAUUUCGGUAUGUAAAGCUCUGUCAGCAGGGAAGAAAGAAAUGACGGUACCUGACCAAGAAGCCCCGGCUAACUACGUGCCAGUAGCCGCGGUAAUACGUAGGGGGCAAGCGUUAUCCGGAGUUACUGGGGGUAAAGGGAGCGUAGACGGUUAAGUAAGUCUGGAGUGAAAGGCCGGGGCCAAACCCCGGGACUGCUCUGGAAACUAUUGAACUUGAGUGCAGGAGAGGGAAGGGGAAUUCCUGGUGUAGCGGUGAAAUGCGUAGAUAUUAGGAGGAACACCAGUGGCGAAGGCGGCUUACUGGACUGUAACUGACGUUGAGGCUCGAAAGCGUGGGGAGCAAACAGGAUUAGAUACCCGAGUAGUC
rnacentral:rRNA from 1 species